rnacentral:misc_RNA from 1 species
AUAAACCUAAUAAUAAUAAAAUUCUUAAACAAUAAAAGCUCUUUAAAUUUCCUAAUUCUAUAGUAAUUAAAAUUCCUAAAUAAAAUUUUAAACUUCCUAUUCUGCAUUAGGAUCUCUCUUGGUCACGAGAUCAUCUAUUCUUGCUUUUAUGGUUCCUUUUUUGAGGUUUUUGUUCCCAAACAUCUGGAGGUUCCCUCAAGGAUCAUUAAUACUGAUAGUGAGGAUUUUAAAUAAUCAAAUCUUAAUUGCAGGCAUUUACAAAGACAUUCCU